rnacentral:tRNA from 1 species
GCCUCUUUAGCUCAGGGGUUAGAGCACUGGUCUAGUAAACCAGGGGUCGAGAGUGCAAAUCUCUGAUGAGGCU